GCGUGAGUGGCGGAAUUGGCAGACGCGCUGGAUUUAGGUUCCAGUGUCUUCGGACGUAGGGGUUCAAGUCCCCUCUCGCGCACGA
rnacentral:tRNA from 1 species